UACGAAGGGUGCAAGCGUUAAUCGGAAUUACUGGGCGUAAAGGGUGCGUAGGCGGUUGUUUAAGUCUGUCGUGAAAUCCCCGGGCUCAACCUGGGAAUGGCGAUGGAUACUGGACAGCUAGAGUGUGUCAGAGGAUGGUGGAAUUCCCGGUGUAGCGGUGAAAUGCGUAGAGAUCGGGAGGAACAUCAGUGGCGAAGGCGGCCAUCUGGGACAACACUGACGCUGAGACGCGAAAGCGUGGGGAGCGAACAGG
rnacentral:rRNA from 1 species